rnacentral:rRNA from 1 species
AGAGUUUGAUCCUGGCUCAGAACGAACGUUGGCGGCGUGGAUUAGGCAUGCAAGUCGAAUGAAUCCCACUUGUGUAGUAAUACAUGAGUGGGGGAAAUGGCGAAAGGGGCAGUAAGGCAUGGGUAACCUACCUCUGGGACGGGAAUAGCCUUUCUAACGAAAGGGUAAUACCCGGCGAGCUGAUCGGGAGGCAUCUUCUGGUCAGGAAAUGAGUUUCGCCUGGAGAGGGGCUCAUGUGAUAUUAGCUAGUUGGUGAGGUAAUGGCUCACCAAGGCAAAGAUGUCUAGCGGGUGUGAGAGCACGACCCGCGCCACUGGCACUGAGACACUGGCCAGACUCCUACGGGAGGCUGCAGUCGAGGAUCUUCGGCAAUGGGCGCAAGCCUGACCGAGCGACGCCGCGUGUGCGAUGAAGGCCUUCGGGUUGUAAAGCACUGUCGAGGGGGAGGAAGCUCCGCAAGGGGUUGACCUAUCCCUGGAGGAAGCACGGGCUAAGUUCGUGCCAGCAGCCGCGGUAAGACGAACCGUGCGAACGUUGUUCGGAAUCACUGGGCUUAAAGGGCGCGUAGGCGGGCUGUAAAGUCAGUGGUGAAAUCCUUCAGCUCAACUGGAGAAGUGCCGCUGAUACUGACAGUCUCGAGGGAGGUAGGGGUCGAUGGAACUAAUGGUGGAGCGGUGAAAUGCGUAGAUAUCAUUAGGAACGCCGGUGGCGAAAGCGAUCGACUGGACCUCUUCUGACGCUGAGGCGCGAAAGCCAGGGGAGCAAACGGGAUUAGAUACCCCGGUAGUCCUGGCCCUAAACGAUGGGUACCAGAUUGUGGACUUAACAUGGGUUCACAGUCGAGGCAAAAGUGCUAAGUACCCCGCCUGGGGAGUAUGGUCGCAAGGCUGAAACUCAAAGGAAUUGACGGGGGCUCACACAAGCGGUGGAGCAUGUGGCUUAAUUCGAGGCUACGCGAAGAACCUUAUCCUGGACUUGACAUGUGCGAAAGCGUUGGGAAGUAGAAAGUGGAAACACCUACGAACGGUAUCCAGUCCGGAACCCAAUACAGGUGCUGCAUGGCUGUCGUCAGCUCGUGUCGUGAGAUGUCGGGUUAAGUCCCAUAACGAGCGAAACCCCUGUCCUUAGUUGCCAGCACGUCAUGGUGGGUACUCUAGGGAGACUGCCGGUGUUAAACCGGAGGAAGGUGGGGAUGACGUCAAGUCCUCAUGGCCUUUACGUCCAGGGCUGCACACGUGCUACAAUGGUGUAUACAGAGGGAAGCCAACGCGCGAGCGGGAGCAAAUCUCAAAAAAUACACCCCAGUUCAGAUCGAAGGCUGCAACUCGCCUUCGUGAAGUUGGAAUCGCUAGUAAUCGCAGGUCAGCAACACUGCGGUGAAUGUGUUCCUGAGCCUUGUACACACCGCCCGUCAAGCCACGAAAGGAAGGGGGAGACAACGUCGCUGUGCUAACCGUAAGGAGGCAGGCGCCUAAUCUCCAACUUCUGAUUGGGACUAAGUCGUAACAAGGUAACC